AUGUUGGACAUCUCCGUGGGGAGCUCGCCGGACAGCGCGUUCCUCGACACGUUCAGCGUGCACAGGAUCUUCAGCGACGUGAUGCUCUCCGGUAUCGCGCCGGUCAGGCGGUUGCGGCUGACGUCGACUGCGGCGAGCGACGCGCAGCGCGUCAGCUCCUGCGGGAUCGCGCCGGUGAGAUGGUUCCCGCUGACGUUCAGCCGGGACAGGUUCCUGAGCCGGCCGAUCUCCGGCGGCAGCUCGCCGGAGAAGUUGUUGGACUCGAGCGAGAGCGUCUGCAGCGCGGGGAGGUUGCCGAUGGCCGCCGGAAUCCUGCCGCCGAUCCCGUUGUUCCCCAGCAGCAGCAUGCCGAUCUUGCCGCCGCCGAUCACGUCGGGGAGACCGCCGGUGAGCAGGUUGUCGGUGAGCUCCAGCAUGUUGGCCUGCGGCAGGUCGAAGAGCCCGGCCGGCACGGCGCCGCUGAGGAAGUUCUUGCUGAGCCGGACGCGCACCAGCGUCUUGCACGCGCCGAGCGACUCCGGGAUGGGGCCGAAGAAGGCGUUGUCCAUGAGCACGAGCGUCUCGAGCCUCCCGCCGGCGCAGAGCUCCGGCGGCACGGUGCCGGUGAGGUGGUUGGUGGUGACGUCGAGGUUCCUUAGCCGGCCGUUCCUCCCGAGCCCCGGCGGGAGGCUGCCGGUGAGGUUGUUCUCCCAGAGCUGCAGCACCUCCAGGUCCGGCAGCUCGGCGACGAACGCCGGUAUCCCGCCGCGGAGGUGGUUCCGGAACAGGUUGAGCAGCCGGAGGUGGGUCAGCUUGGCGAGGCUCGCCGGUAUCUCGCCGGCGAGGUCGUUGACGGACAGGUCGAGCGACUGGAGGCUCUGGAGCUCGCCGAGCUCCGUCGGAAUCUCGCCGGAGAGGCGGUUCCAGAGGAGGAAGAGCGUGUCGAGGUUCUUGAGCUUGCCGAGCUCGGGCGGGAUGGGUCCGGUGAGGUUGCAGCUGCUCAUGUCGAGCAGCACGAGGCUGCGCAGCCCGCCGAACUCGGGCGGCACGCCGCCGUCGUACUGGUUGAAGUACCCCACGUAG
rnacentral:rRNA from 1 species